GCCACCUUUUUUAAAAAAAUUUUAAAACCCCUCUAUUCUCUCAAAAAUGGCCGGCCUUUGAGUUGCCAUAGCGCCGCCAUAGCGCUCGCCACACCGCCACCGCCUCCGACGGCCGACGAAGCGCCAGAUCGGCGUUCAAAGCCCUAUCCCAGUGGCUGAGGCGGCAAGUGGGCGACGUUGGUGGCGGUGGUAGAGGGCAGGUGAGCGGCGAUGGGACAGUGGCGGCGCGGCGCCAGAAGACCAAGGGUCUAAAGACCCUAGGUGCGGCGCUAGGCUAGGGUUAGGGGGAGUAGGUUUUUUUUAGGGUUUGGGCUGAUUGGGUUUGUCGGUUAUUUGGGCCUGGUUCUGUUUGGGCUUUGGGUGUUGUAAUUGGGCCAUUCGGAUUUGGGUUUAGUCUAGGUGGGUUAAUUUGGAAUUGGGCUGAGGUUUUGGGGUUAUUUUGUAAUUGGGUUGGGUAGCUGGGGGUUAAUUGUAAUUGUUUUUGUUUGGGUUAAGGGUUAGUUGGGCCCGGGCAUGAAAAUUGGGCUUGUACAGGAGUGAACAAUCAUCACCAAACAAUAACUUUUGCAUUUGCAAUAUUGUCAUAUGAGAAGCAUGAUAGUUUUCUUUGGGUUCUGAAUAA